AUGAAACAAUCAAAUUAACAAAGAAAAAAGGAUUAGAAUGUCAAACGUUUUCUCUGUAACCAUGGAGACCCAAAAGAGAAAAGAAUUUAAUUUUAUUCUCUUAACUGUUUUUUUCUAUUAAUAUUAACUCUUUGAAUUUACUUUAGUUUAAUUAUCUAAUGAUUGAGGAUCAUUUUCUUUGUUUUUCUAAUUUAGUUUUUUUUUUGAUGACCAUCACCUAACCAACAUUUCUGACCAAUGGAUUGACCUUGUAAUUAGAUGGACUUGAAGGUAAAUAGUUUUGAAUUGAAAAACUACUGAAAAUGGUUUUCCUCUGUUUCUGGCAGCUGAACUAUGGUUAUGUUGGCAAUUUGAUUGAUACCUUUGGGUUGAUCUUAUACUGAGGUUACCUGGGUCAAGACAUUUGUGUAUUUACCCUGAAGGUUGAUGGCUCAUCAUUGAUCCGAUGAUUGAUCAUAUGUUGUGAGAGCUAUCAAAGUGAUCAACAGCUAUUAUUUUUUUCUUAGCAUCUUCAUCAUCUGUUGAUUAUUGUGAUUCUCAUGUGUUGAAUUUAUCCAAUCUUUUAUUCUAAUGGGAGUAUUUGUUUGCUGUAAACAACACGAAAUAUGUUUGGUGGAGAACAAGAAGAGAAGAAAAUGGAAAAGAAGAGAAGAGAAGAAAAAAACUCAACCAUCAAAAAGGAAAAAAAACUCAUUUUCUCACAGUUGCCAUUUGAUCCAUUGACCAACGGGUUUUUCUUCAGUUCACUUCCAUAAGUUAUUUAUCAUCUUGGUGGUAAAACUGAGUCGUUACUUUUUUCUUCCUCGAUUAAUAAUGAGCCUCGUUUACCUUUAAUUGUGAUUAACUUACAAACAAAUUGUAACAUCAAAUCUUUGACCAGAUCUAAAUCAAUCAAUCAACUUGAUUGCGGUAAAAAAAAUUGAUGUUUUUUUUCACACUUACGAUUGUUGUUUAAUGACACUUAAGAAACCAGCAAAAAGUGGACUUCGAUUGGACUCUUGGGGAGCAACAUUGACGACGUAGGUUCGUUGCAAGACAAGUGCACAUUCAGAGGAUU